UCUGCGAAUAAUUUAUAAUUACACUGCUGAUGUUGAUAAAUGACAACACCCAACUAUAACAAAUCACGCCUAUUUUGUCGGCAAAAUUUAGAUCUGCAUCUCCUCCGGCCCUCUCCCAAAAUAUGAUGUGCUAAGUGCUGUCCUGAGAGGCUAGUAUAAACACGAUUUUCGAAUUUUUUUAGUUCCUAAAUGUUUAGUUCAUUAAUAAUGUUUGGUUGUAUAAUAAUUUCCAUAAUCAUAACGCUUUCAGUUUAUUAUAGGUUUAUUCUCUAUUCUGAUGACGUCAGUAAUGGCGUCCAUGUUUUCAGAAAAAAUACGUUUUGAAUUACUACAUUGUGUGUGCUGAACAUGAGCCCAGAUCAGAUGUUGGGGUCAUGCAGAGGUGGGUAGUCUCCUUCUGGUGAAAUGUUAGUGUGAAGUAGUAGCAUAAACUAGAAGACAUCUUGACAUGGAAGUAUUGAAUAUU